rnacentral:lncRNA from 1 species
AUGAAUUUUAGUUCAGCUUUAAAGAUACCAAAAAUACAAAUAAAUCCCACUGUAUCUUUAAAAGUUAGUCUAAAAAGGAACAGUUUGGAUUAUACAGAAAGGUUUAUUAGUCAAUCUGAUCUUGUCAUCUGCAUUAUCAGAAAGGAAAACAAAAAAUAUUUCAAAAAAAGUAAAAUAAAUCAGAUUGUCAGUCUAUCAGUAUUCACAAGAAAUGGGCUUAUUUUCUCAAAUAAAGUCAACAUGUUAAAAAAGAUCCUGGGGCAAUACACCAGAUUAUACUCCAGUAUAAUCACUGAGACAAUUCAUUGAUCAGAUGUCUAAGUUGAGGAUUUGAAUAUUCUAACUCCAAAAUCUAAUAGUGAAGUCUGUUAUAUUACACAGAAAUAGCUUCAGGGAGCCUUUCGCACUCUGGGUUUUUUGCAUGUCCUCUAGUAAUUUAUCAUCUGUGAAUCUUGAGGGAUUGGCCUUGACUAGGAUUUGAAGUCUAGACUAUUAGUGUGAGUAAUGCUACAAGUGAGCAGCCGUGGACCUGAGAACAAUCAAGCUCAGUGGUGUGAAAUGUAGAGAAUCAAGAAGGCAGUCAUGCUCAGCUGAGUGAAGUGAAGCAAAAGCACAAAUACAAGUGCAACUGGGUCACAAACCUGAGGAAAUGAAGGGUGACCUCCACGGUUCCAGACCGCUUCCACGCAGUUUCCUUCAGCUCGGCCCAGAGAAGAAGAGCUCAAAUUAAAUCACACACCAGCAUCAGAUGUCAAGUGUCUCAGCUCCUAAUUACCAGGAAAAAAAAAAAGACAAAGAAAUAAGAGUCUACAAAGAGUCUGCAUAUUGAUAAGCUAUAUUCCUUGUUAAAAAUCAAGAUUUACCUAAGAAUAGGGCGGGUUUAUCGUCUGGAGUAAUAAUUCGUUAGUGGGCUCACAAUAUUAUUUAAUAAUCUUCACAAGGGCACAAUGGCUAACACAAAAUAUUGCUUCUUGAAGUGUUAAAAUAUUAAUAGUAAAACCAAAAAUACUCAAAGCAAAUACAAAACAAUAUGACUUCCUAAUUUCACUGAAAUGAAUGUAUUAUGUACAUGGCAGAUUGUCUUGGCAAAAAGAAUUUUUUUUCUUAUCACCC